rnacentral:rRNA from 2 species
CUGCGACCUAUCAGCUUGUUGGUGGGGUAAAGGCCCACCAAGGCGAUUACAGGUACGGGCUCUGAGAGGAGAAGCCUGGAGAUGGGUACUGAGACACGGACCCAGGCCCUAUGGGGCGCAGCAGGCGAGAAAACUUUGCAAUGUGCGAAAGCACGACAAGGUUAAUCCGAGUGAUUUCUGCUAAAGGAAUCUUUUGCCAGUUCUAAAAAUACUAGUGAAUAAGGGGUGGGCAAGUUCUGGUGUCAGCCGCCGCGGUAAAACCAGCACCUCAAGUGGUCAGGAGGAUUAUUGGGCCUAAAGCAUCCGUAGCCUGCUCUGUAAGUUUUCGGUUAAAUCUAUAUGCUCAACGUAUAGGCCGCCGAAAAUACUGCAGUGCUAGGAAGUGGGAGAGGUAGACGGUACUUGGUAGGAAGGGGUAAAAUCCUUUGAUCUAUCGAUGACCACCUGUGGCGAAGGCGGUCUACCAGAACACGU